GGGUUGUGAGGUUAAGCGACUAAGCGUACACGGUGGAUGCCCUGGCAGUCAGAGGCGAUGAAGGACGUGCUAAUCUGCGAUAAGCGUCGGUGAGGUGAUAUGAACCGUUAUAACCGGCGAUUUCCGAAUGGGGAAACCCAGUGUGUUUCGACACACUAUCAUUAACUGAAUCCAUAGGUUAAUGAGGCGAACCGGGGGAACUGAAACAUCUAAGUACCCCGAGGAAAAGAAAUCAACCGAGAUUCCCCCAGUAGCGGCGAGCGAACGGGGAGGAGCCCAGAGCCUGAAUCAGUGUGUGUGUUAGUGGAAGCGUCUGGAAAGGCGCGCGAUACAGGGUGACAGCCCCGUACACAAAAAUGCACAUAUUGUGAGCUCGAUGAGUAGGGCGGGACACGUGGUAUCCUGUCUGAAUAUGGGGGGACCAUCCUCCAAGGCUAAAUACUCCUGACUGACCGAUAGUGAACCAGUACCGUGAGGGAAAGGCGAAAAGAACCCCGGCGAGGGGAGUGAAAAAGAACCUGAAACCGUGUACGUACAAGCAGUGGGAGCCUCUUUAUGGGGUGACUGCGUACCUUUUGUAUAAUGGGUCAGCGACUUAUAUUCUGUAGCAAGGUUAACCGAAUAGGGGAGCCGAAGGGAAACCGAGUCUUAACUGGGCGUUAAGUUGCAGGGUAUAGACCCGAAACCCGGUGAUCUAGCCAUGGGCAGGUUGAAGGUUGGGUAACACUAACUGGAGGACCGAACCGACUAAUGUUGAAAAAUUAGCGGAUGACUUGUGGCUGGGGGUGAAAGGCCAAUCAAACCGGGAGAUAGCUGGUUCUCCCCGAAAGCUAUUUAGGUAGCGCCUCGUGAAUUCAUCUCCGGGGGUAGAGCACUGUUUCGGCAAGGGGGUCAUCCCGACUUACCAACCCGAUGCAAACUGCGAAUACCGGAGAAUGUUAUCACGGGAGACACACGGCGGGUGCUAACGUCCGUCGUGAAGAGGGAAACAAACCCAGACCGCCAGCUAAGGUCCCAAAGUCAUGGUUAAGUGGGAAACGAUGUGGGAAGGCCCAGACAGCCAGGAUGUUGGCUUAGAAGCAGCCAUCAUUUAAAGAAAGCGUAAUAGCUCACUGGUCGAGUCGGCCUGCGCGGAAGAUGUAACGGGGCUAAACCAUGCACCGAAGCUGCGGCAGCGACACUAUGUGUUGUUGGGUAGGGGAGCGUUCUGUAAGCCUGUGAAGGUGGCCUGUGAGGGUUGCUGGAGGUAUCAGAAGUGCGAAUGCUGACAUAAGUAACGAUAAAGCGGGUGAAAAGCCCGCUCGCCGGAAGACCAAGGGUUCCUGUCCAACGUUAAUCGGGCAGGGUGAGUCGACCCCUAAGGCGAGGCCGAAAGGCGUAGUCGAUGGGAAACAGGUUAAUAUUCCUGUACUUGGUGUUACUGCGAAGGGGGGACGGAGAAGGCUAUGUUGGCCGGGCGACGGUUGUCCCGGUUUAAGCGUGUAGGCUGGUUUUCCAGGCAAAUCCGGAAAACCAAGGCUGAGGCGUGAUGACGAGGCACUACGGUGCUGAAGCGACAAAUGCCCUGCUUCCAGGAAAAGCCUCUAAGCAUCAGGUAACAUCAAAUCGUACCCCAAACCGACACAGGUGGUCAGGUAGAGAAUACCAAGGCGCUUGAGAGAACUCGGGUGAAGGAACUAGGCAAAAUGGUGCCGUAACUUCGGGAGAAGGCACGCUGAUAUGUAGGUGAAGCGACUUGCUCGUGGAGCUGAAAUCAGUCGAAGAUACCAGCUGGCUGCAACUGUUUAUUAAAAACACAGCACUGUGCAAACACGAAAGUGGACGUAUACGGUGUGACGCCUGCCCGGUGCCGGAAGGUUAAUUGAUGGGGUUAGCGGUAACGCGAAGCUCUUGAUCGAAGCCCCGGUAAACGGCGGCCGUAACUAUAACGGUCCUAAGGUAGCGAAAUUCCUUGUCGGGUAAGUUCCGACCUGCACGAAUGGCGUAAUGAUGGCCAGGCUGUCUCCACCCGAGACUCAGUGAAAUUGAACUCGCUGUGAAGAUGCAGUGUACCCGCGGCAAGACGGAAAGACCCCGUGAACCUUUACUAUAGCUUGACACUGAACAUUGAGCCUUGAUGUGUAGGAUAGGUGGGAGGCUUUGAAGUGUGGACGCCAGUCUGCAUGGAGCCGACCUUGAAAUACCACCCUUUAAUGUUUGAUGUUCUAACGUUGGCCCGUAAUCCGGGUUGCGGACAGUGUCUGGUGGGUAGUUUGACUGGGGCGGUCUCCUCCUAAAGAGUAACGGAGGAGCACGAAGGUUGGCUAAUCCUGGUCGGACAUCAGGAGGUUAGUGCAAUGGCAUAAGCCAGCUUGACUGCGAGCGUGACGGCGCGAGCAGGUGCGAAAGCAGGUCAUAGUGAUCCGGUGGUUCUGAAUGGAAGGGCCAUCGCUCAACGGAUAAAAGGUACUCCGGGGAUAACAGGCUGAUACCGCCCAAGAGUUCAUAUCGACGGCGGUGUUUGGCACCUCGAUGUCGGCUCAUCACAUCCUGGGGCUGAAGUAGGUCCCAAGGGUAUGGCUGUUCGCCAUUUAAAGUGGUACGCGAGCUGGGUUUAGAACGUCGUGAGACAGUUCGGUCCCUAUCUGCCGUGGGCGCUGGAGAACUGAGGGGGGCUGCUCCUAGUACGAGAGGACCGGAGUGGACGCAUCACUGGUGUUCGGGUUGUCAUGCCAAUGGCACUGCCCGGUAGCUAAAUGCGGAAGAGAUAAGUGCUGAAAGCAUCUAAGCACGAAACUUGCCCCGAGAUGAGUUCUCCCUGACUCCUUGAGAGUCCUGAAGGAACGUUGAAGACGACGACGUUGAUAGGCCGGGUGUGUAAGCGCAGCGAUGCGUUGAGCUAACCGGUACUAAUGAACCGUGAGGCUUAACCUUACAACGCCGAAG
rnacentral:rRNA from 1 species